GUUGCUGCUGGUGUAAGUAGCCCGGUUUGGAGUUACCCAAGUUCGAGUUAGGGCCUAGUUACCCAAUUACCAUCAAUGGAAGAGAACAGUCCAACACACAAGAGCAGUAGGCCUUAGAUGCACAGUUCCCAGGAUCACCAAUCUUCCAUCCAGAUAUAGAUUGAGGCGUCCUUGCCAGUCCUUGCCAAAACUGCAUGUUUU